AUUGAACGCUGGCGGAAUGCUUUACACAUGCAAGUCGAACGGCAGCACGGACUUCGGUCUGGUGGCGAGUGGCGAACGGGUGAGUAAUGUAUCGGAACGUGCCCAGUCGUGGGGGAUAACGUAGUGAAAAUUACGCUAAUACCGCAUACGAUCUAUGGAUGAAAGCGGGGGAUCGCAAGACCUCGCGCGAUUGGAGCGGCCGAUAUCAGAUUAGGUAGUUGGUGGGGUAAAGGCCCACCAAGCCACCGAUCUGUAGCUGGUCUGAGAGGACGAACAGCCACACUGGAACUGAGACACGGUCCAGACUCCUACGGGAGGCAGCAGUGAGGAAGUUUGGACAAUGGGCGAAAGCCUGAUUCAGCCAUUCCGCGUGCAGGAUGAAGGCCCUCGGGUUGUAAACUGCUUUUGUACAGAACGAAAAGGUUUCUACUAAUACUAGGAGCUCAUGACGGUACUGUAAGAAUAAGCACCGGCUAACUACGUGCCAGCAGCCGCGGUAA
rnacentral:rRNA from 1 species